rnacentral:rRNA from 1 species
AGCGAACGCUGGCGGCAGGCCUAACACAUGCAAGUCGAACGAAGUCCUCGGACUUAGUGGCGGACGGGUGAGUAACACGUGGGAACGUGCCUUUAGGUUCGGAAUAACUCAGGGAAACUUGUGCUAAUACCGAAUGUGCCCUUCGGGGGAAAGAUUUAUCGCCUUUAGAGCGGCCCGCGUCUGAUUAGCUAGUUGGUGAGGUAAAGGCUCACCAAGGCUACGAUCAGUAGCUGGUCUGAGAGGAUGACCAGCCACAUUGGGACUGAGACACGGCCCAAACUCCUACGGGAGGCAGCAGUGGGGAAUCUUGCGCAAUGUGCGAAAGCCUGACGCAGCCAUGCCGCGUGGAUGAUGAAGGUCUUAGGAUCGUAAAAUCCUUUCACCGGUGAAGAUAAUGACUGUAGCCGGAGAAGAAGCCCCGGCUAACUUCGUGCCAGCCGCCGCCGUAACAC